GAUGAAGAACGCAGCGAAAUGCGAUAAGUAAUGUGAAUUGCAGAAUUCAGUGAAUCAUCGAAUCUUUGAACGCACAUUGCGCCCGCUAGUAUUCUGGCGGGCAUGCCUGUCCGAGCGUCAUUUCAACCCUCAAGCCCCCGGGCUUGGUGUUGGGGAUCGGCGAGCCUCCGCGCCCGCCGUCCCCUAAAUCUAGUGGCGGUCUCGCUGUAGCUUCCUCUGCGUAGUAGCACACCUCGCACUGGGAAACAGCGUGGCCACGCCGUUAAACCCCCAACUUCUGAACGUUUGACCUCGGAUCAGGUAGGAAUACCCGCUGAACUUAAGCAUAUCAAUAAGCGGAGGA
rnacentral:misc_RNA from 1 species